rnacentral:rRNA from 1 species
GUGCCAGCAGCCGCGGUAAUACGGAGGGUGCAAGCGUUGUCCGGAUUUAUUGGGUUUAAAGGGUGCGUAGGCGGCUUUGUAAGUCCGAGGUGAAAUCUUGUAGCUCAACUACGAAAGGGCCUUGGAUACUGCGGGGCUAGAGUACAGGCGAGGCUGGUGGAACGGGUGGUGUAGCGGUGAAAUGCAUAGAUACCAUCCAGAACACCGAUUGCGAAGGCAGCCAGCUAGACUGUCACUGACGCUGAGGCACGAAAGCGCGGGGAGCAAACAGGAUUAGAUACCCUAGUAGUCC